rnacentral:tRNA from 1 species
GGGGAUAUAGCUCAGUUGGUAGAGUGUUUGCCUCACAUCAACAAGGCCUGGGUUCAAUCCCCAGCACCACCA